GGAAUAUUGCACAAUGGGGGGAACCCUGAUGCAGCGACGCCGCGUGAAGGAAGAAGGUCUUCGGAUUGUAAACUUUUGUCUUCGGGGACGAAAAGAAUGACGGUACCCGGGGAGGAAGCCACGGCUAACUACGUGCCAGCAGCCGCGGUAAUACGUAGGUGGCAAGCGUUGUCCGGAUUUACUGGGUGUAAAGGGCGUGUAGACGGGUUUUUAAGUCAGAUGUGAAAUCCCUCGGCUCAACUGAGGAACUGCAUUUGAAACUGGAGAUCUUGAGUGCCGGAGAGGGAAGCGGAAUUCCUAGUGUAGCGGUGAAAUGCGUAGAUAUUAGGAGGAACACCGGUGGCGAAGGCGGCUUUCUGGACGGUAACUGACGUUGAGGCGCGAAAGCGUGGGGAGCAAACA
rnacentral:rRNA from 1 species